GAAGGAAUUAUUGGCGCUCUAAGUUAAGGUGUCAAUUUUGUAUCUAUUAUCACUCUUUGGGGCAUAAUAUAUGUUUACAGAGAGCAAAAAAUGAUUGGUCAUUAGGAUUGGAGAGCAUUCUUUUUUUACUACACUUUUCAUAUACUUUAAAAUAAAUUUUAAGUCUAGAUGAAGGAAUUAUAAGCCAUUGAAGAUAGCACAUGUAAAUCAAAGGCAAUAAGUGAGUGAUUUUAUUCAUAGUAAUGCUUAGAGCCAUAUCUUAAGUUUCUAGAUGAAUUUUAGACUCAAACCUUUUGAAGAAGAUAGAUUAAUACAUUAAAAAGCUAUAUAUACUAAUUUUGUGGCAUUUGAAAGCUUAAUUUGUAAGAUAUAAAGAAAAUUAUAUGUAAGUAUAUAAAAACCAAGGUUUGAAGCUAUUGUUACGAUUUUGGCAAUAUUUUAAGAUCCGCAAUGAAUUUGCAAUUGAAAUUUGUUGUGAUAGUUUUUAGAAGUAUAUCAAUACUUCAUGUAAAAUUUGAGUAUGUUUCAACGGUUCGAUUGGAAGAUAUGAGUUGUUGAAGUUUAAGAAUAAUACUCCAUAAAGAUAUAUAAGGAUUUUGAAAUUUCUAUC
rnacentral:lncRNA from 1 species